UUUCUUCUUAGACAUGGCAGCU
rnacentral:miRNA from 1 species